AAGUCGUAACAAGGUUUCCGUAGGUGAACCUGCGGAAGGAUCAUUAACAAAUUCAAACACACACACACAUGAUCCGAAAGACACUUCUUCUCUUAUGGAGGGGAAGACUUUUGGUAUCUAUACAUCAUUCUUAAAUAUAUAUACAAUCAAUUACCAAGACGUGAGGAAACUCAUGCAAAAAGAUCUAAUGGUAAACAACUUUUAACAAUGGAUCUCUUGGCUCUUGCAA
rnacentral:misc_RNA from 1 species